rnacentral:sRNA from 1 species
GCUGGGUGCAGUGGAACACACCUGUAAUCCCAGCAGCUUAGGAGGCUGAGGUAGGAGGAUUGUGAGUUCAAAGCCAGCCUCACCAGCGAGGCAUUUAGCAACUCAGGGUCUGUGAGACCCUAUCUCUA